CCCAGCUGUAGGCAACUUCCUAGGUUGCUUUAUACCUAGAUAAGCAUUACACUGCUGAGAGAAAAGCAGCCAAUAGCUGGCAGGCAUCCUGGGCCUGGUUCUUGCCAAAUUUGUGUUAGUUAUGUCAGUAUGCCAGCAUAGUUAACCAUU
rnacentral:snoRNA from 1 species